UGCUCACAGAGAGUCUGAGGACAUCACAAAGCUUCUGCAGUGUGAGUUAGCACCCGGGCAGCCCUGGAAACCCCCACAGGGAAGAAACACCAUCACAGAGAGCCAAGAACUUUCCAGAGCAUUCAUCAGAAAUGCUUGCUGAACAGCAAACCCCAACUUCACAUAAGGUCCCACCGGAAAACUGCUGACAAAGGCCUGGUUAUGUAAGUGAGGCGGCGGGUAAUUAGCACAACUGCUCCCCAGAAGAAGAGGAAGAAACAGCCCCUCGGGCCCCAGCUCUGUCGUCUAGAAGGAGACUGCGGCAGAGUUCCUGUGUUAGGCCAAGAAUCAGGCAAGAAUUUUGCUCCCUGGAUUGUAUGAAAUUAGAAAGUGUCAUGUCAGACGACUGCCUAACCCAAAGGAAAAAAUGUCAGGGUUCAGGACUCUUCUGGGAGGCCAAUAGGGAGUCUCAAAGGACCAGGAAGAAGUUGGCCAUCAAGGUCUGAGGAGGGGUGGCAGGCAGGUCACCCCCAGCAUUCUGUGUGCCCACCUGCCUCCUGAACUCAGGACCAUCUUCCAGACCUCCUCUGUCCCAGAGCUCCAGGAGACCGAAACUUGCUGCAUGGAUGCAGCAAAAGAUGAUGCCUUCCUCCUAACUAGGAAGGGUGGGUGGCCAGCUCUCCGCCAUGUGGAGUGAGUUACUGCUGGAUAAUAAACUGGUGAGUGCUUCAUAAAGAGACGCUGAAUAAAUAGGCUGUGCUUUAAAAGCUCUUGAGU
rnacentral:lncRNA from 1 species